rnacentral:rRNA from 1 species
UACGUAGGGGGCAAGCGUUGUCCGGAAUUAUUGGGCGUAAAGAGCGCGUAGGCGGUCCGAUAAGUCGGCUGUGAAAGUCCAGGGCUCAACCCUGGAAAGCCGGCCGAUACUGUCGGACUAGAGUCCGGAAGAGGCGAGUGGAAUUCCGGGUGUAGCGGUGGAAUGCGUAGAGAUCCGGAAGAACACCAGUGGCGAAGGCGGUCUGCUGGGCGGUGGGACCGAAAGGUCUCGAUGCCGACACUGAGGCGCGACAGCGUGGGGAGCAAACAGG